AACGCGAAGAACCUUACCUGGCCUUGACAUACAGAGAACUUUCCAGAGAUGGAUUGGUGCCUUCGGGAACUCUGAUACAGGUGCUGCAUGGCUGUCGUCAGCUCGUGUCGUGAGAUGUUGGGUUAAGUCCCGCAACGAGCGCAACCCUUUUCCUUAUUUGCCAGCACUUCGGGUGGGAACUUUAAGGAUACUGCCAGUGACAAACUGGAGGAAGGCGGGGACGACGUCAAGUCAUCAUGGCCCUUACGGCCAGGGCUACACACGUGCUACAAUGGUCGGUACAAAGGGUUGCUACACAGCGAUGUGAUGCUAAUCUCAAAAAGCCGAUCGUAGUCCGGAUUGGAGUCUGCAACUCGACCCCAUGAAGUCGGAAUCGCUAGUAAUCGCGA
rnacentral:rRNA from 1 species